UGGGGUCAAGCAGCCCCCUAUGGCUCCUUAAUGCGGGCUCUUUUCUGGAACAUCCGCGGCUUCGGCCAUGAUGGUCGUCGCCGCCAGUUAGUGGAGUACAUGCGAGAUGAGCACAUCGACAUUGUUGCUGUGCAAGAGACCAUGCGUCGCGAUUUCACGCUUCCUGAGCUUGACCGGCUGAGCUCUCACCUCUUUGCGUGGCACUGGCUCCCUUCUAGUGGGAGCGCGGGCCACUCGGGUGGCAUCCUUUUAGGUGUGAAGGAUGUCACCUUCGAGGUGGGCAGCAUGGAUAGGGGCGAAUUCUUCGUCAGCAUGGAGUUAUUCGAGAGAUCGCUCAACUUCAAGUGGGAGGUCAUCAUUGUCUAUGGGCCGGCCGACCAUAGUAGGUCGGCCUCCUUCCUGGAGGAGCUCCACCGGAAGAUCUCGGCGGCCUCCCUUCCCGUGGUAGUAGGUGGCGACUUCAACCUGCUGCGUGUAGCGGAAGACAAGAGCAAUGACAAUGUGUGCUUUGCCCGGAUGCAAUUGUUUAAUGACUUCAUUGCUGACCUCGCCCUCCGGGAGAUUGAUCGGAUUGGGGCCCGGUUUACCUGGACCAAUCGGCAAGCCUCCCCGACCCAGUCCGUCUUGGACCGGGUCCUAGUUUCCCCGGAUUGGGACCUCCGUUGUCCCCUAGCCUCUCUCCGCGCCAUCACCCGGAUUGGUUCGGACCAUGUCCCCCUGCUUCUCUCCUCCACGGACGAACGUCCGCCGAUCCCCCCUCGUUUUCGCUUCGAGACUUUCUGGCUAUCCCAGGCUGGAUUCACCGACGUCGUUUGCGCUCGGUUAUCCGCCAGUUCCGCCCGAUCACGGUCAUUAACAUGA
rnacentral:rRNA from 1 species